rnacentral:rRNA from 1 species
AGUGAACGCUGGCGGCGUGCUUUACACAUGCAAGUCGUACGAGUGGCGAACGGGUGAGUAACGCCUCGGAACCUACCGCGUACUGGGGGAUAACUGCCCGAAACGACAGCUAAUACCGCAUAUUAUUCGAGCGGCCGAUGUCUGAUUAGCUGGUUGGCGGGGUAAAGGCCCACCAAGGCGACGAUCAGUAGCGGGUCUGAGAGGAUGAUCAGCCACACUGGGACUGAGACACGGACCAGACUCCUACGGGAGGCAGCAGUGGGGAAUAUUGGACAAUGGGGGCAAGCCUGAUGCAGCCAUGCCGCGUGUCUGAAGAAGGCCUUCGGGUUGUAAAGGACUUUGGGCAGGGAAGCGGUACCUGAAGAAGAAGCACCGGCUAACUACGUGCCAGCAGCCGCGGUAAUAC